CAAUUACAUUGCAGCUGCAUAUGCAUGUAUAUAUUCUCGAUGGAUCAAUCAUAAUGCAUGCAAGCCUCAAAGGAUGUAUUGACGCGUAUAUCCUGCAUACAAAUGCUAUGAACCUGCCCAAGAGCUAACAGGUACAAUGUACCAAGCAAAUGCCUAUCUGUAAAGACCAAGAAAAAAACACAUGGACAUAAACAUUGUGAUGGAGGGAACCACAUAGGCCGGGAGGUGCAAAUGCAAAUUUAAUUUAUACACAUGAUUAGAAAUUGGAUCAACGUAACUCUAGGAGAAAAAAAAAGAAAACUUCAAAUCUAAAUUCUACAUGAAGAGAUCAAAACAAAGAAGUAUAUAUCGAGAC
rnacentral:lncRNA from 1 species